rnacentral:misc_RNA from 1 species
GUGAAUCAUCAAAUCUUUGAACGCAAAUUGCACUCUCUUCGGAGAGUAUGCCUGUUUGAGGGUCAGUAUAAAUAAAAAUCGGUGUGUUGCUUCUUUGUGACGCUCCGGGGUUUGGGUCAUCUUAAUAUCCUUUAGGUUUUAAGAGGCUUAAAAUUGACUUUUUUUGCGCAUUUUAGCGGUACAUAAAUUCUUUUUUUUAUUCGUCUGUCUUAUUGCUCUAAAUUCUAUUUGAUGCGCAUAUCUCGUGUGGUU